GGCGGAGUGGCUGAGUGAUCAGAGGGUCUGCAAAAACCCCUUCCACGGGUUCGAUUCCCGUCUCCGCCU
rnacentral:tRNA from 1 species